AUUGAACGCUGGCGGCAUGCCUUACACAUGCAAGUCGAACGGUAACAGGUCUUCGGAUGCUGACGAGUGGCGAACGGGUGAGUAAUACAUCGGAACGUGCCUAGUAGUGGGGGAUAACUACUCGAAAGAGUGGCUAAUACCGCAUGAGAUCUACGGAUGAAAGCAGGGGAUCGCAAGACCUUGUGCUACUAGAGCGGCCGAUGGCAGAUUAGGUAGUUGGUGGGAUAAAAGCUUACCAAGACGACGAUCUGUAGCUGGUCUGAGAGGACGAUCAGCAACACUGGGACUGAGACACGGCCCAGACUCCUACGGGAGGCAGCAGUGGGGAAUUUUGGACAAUGGGCGCAAGCCUGAUCCAGCAAUGCCGCGUGCAGGAUGAAGGCCUUCGGGUUGUAAACUGCUUUUGUACGGAACGAAAAGCCCUGGGUUAAUACCCUGGGGUCAUGACGGUACCGUAAGAAUAAGCACCGGCUAACCACGUGCCAGCCGCCGCAGUAA
rnacentral:rRNA from 1 species